rnacentral:rRNA from 1 species
UACGUAGGCAGCGAGCGUUGUCCGGAAUCAUUGGGCGUAAAGCGCGUGUAGGCGGCCAGAAAAGUCCGCUGUGAAAACUCGAGGCUCAACUUCGAGCUGUCGGUGGAAACUUUCUGGCUAGAGUCCGGAAGAGGAGAAUGGAAUUCCUGGUGUAGCGGUGAAAUGCGCAGAUAUCAGGAAGAACACCCGUGGCGAAGGCGGUUCUCUGGGACGGUACUGACGCUGAGACGCGAAAGCGUGGGGAGCGAACAGG